CAGCGGAUUAGAGCAGCUGACUACGGAUCAGCAGGUCGCAGGUUCGAAUCCUGUCUGGCG
rnacentral:tRNA from 1 species